rnacentral:rRNA from 1 species
GACAGAGGGUGCAAACGUUGUUCGGAAUUACUGGGCGUAAAGCGCGUGUAGGCUGCUCUGCAAGUCGGAUGUGAAAGCCCUGGGCUCAACCUAGGAAGUGCAUUCGAAACUGCAAAGCUGGAGUCCUGGAGAGGAAGGCGGAAUUCUCGGUGUAGAGGUGAAAUUCGUAGAUAUCGAGAGGAACACCGGUGGCGAAGGCGGCCUUCUGGACAGUGACUGACGCUGAGACGCGAAAGCGUGGGGAGCGAGCAGG